rnacentral:rRNA from 1 species
GAUGAACGCUGGCGGCGUGCCUAAUACAUGCAAGUCGAGCGAACAGACGAGGAGCUUGCUCCUCUGACGUUAGCGGCGGACGGGUGAGUAACACGUGGAUAACCUACCUAUAAGACUGGGAUAACUUCGGGAAACCGGCGCUAAUACCGGAUAAUAUAUUGAACCGCAUGGUUCAAUAGUGAAAGACGGUUUUGCUGUCACUUAUAGAUGGAUCCGCGCCGCAUUAGCUAGUUGGUAAGGUAACGGCCUACCAAGGCAACGAUGCGUAGCCGACCUGAGAGAGUGAUCGGCCACACUGGAACUGAGACACGGUCCAGACUACUAAGGGAGGCAGCAGUAGGGAAUCUUCCGCAAUGGGCGAAAGCCUGACGGAGCAACGCCGCGUGAGUGAUGAAGGUCUUCGGAUCGUAAAACUCUGUUAUGAGGGAAGAACAAAUGUGUAAGUAACUAUGCACGUCUUGACGGUACCUAAUCAGAAAGCCACGGCUAACUACGUG